CUUUAAAUAACCAAGUUUAUAAAGUUAUGUGAUUGACACCUUGAAAUUGGUCAUCCACAACUGCAGUAAGAUGGCAAAUAAUCAGCAUGAGAGAAGCAGGUAUGUCGCUGUGACAAUUGCACGUAAUGUUGGUCAUCACCAUUCCACUAUAAGUCGUUUUGAGAAUAAAAAUCAGGCAACAAACGAUGUUAAAGACCUUCCGAGAUCAAGAAGACCCCCUAUAACAUCUGCUAGGGAAAAUCAAGCAUAAUGAAGGUUGGUCAGAAGGAAACCCAUUGCAAACAAUACAAUCCUAAAAAGAGAGUGAUGACCAUACAUGAG
rnacentral:lncRNA from 1 species